UGUCAGUGUCCUUGAAGAGGAGUUUCACAAAAUGAAGCAGCUGUCUGGUGGUUGGCUUUGCUAUAAAGCUGCAGGUGGGUGUGGCCAGAGAAAACUGACUGUGGUGCCACCUGAGUCAGAGAGCUACACAGCAAAGUCUUUAAAAACAGCAUCUAACAAUGGCAAGAUCACACUCUACAUUGUACCGCUACAAGACACAAUCGACACUUCGCCACUACCCCCACAAGCAGCUGAAUUUGAGAAGAUGCCCAAAUCCAUUUGUAAAAAAUGUGGAGUUAUGAUGCCACUUCAAGUUUUGGCUUUGCACAUUGAAAAUUGUGCAUUAGAGUCAGAGAAUGCAUAUGUAAGUUUUUUAGUUUAAAGGAACUAUGUCCAGUUUGUGGAAGGUCUUUUCCUGAAGACAUGGUUGAAUUUCACGCUAGUAUCUGUGUAGAUAACUGCUCUGCAGAAAUGGAAAUGUUUUCAGAGUGGAAAGAGGAUGCUGUAGCC